AUUGAACGCUGGCGGCAUGCUUUACACAUGCAAGUCGAACGGCAGCGCGGGCUUCGGCCUGGCGGCGAGUGGCGAACGGGUGAGUAAUGCAUCGGAACGUGCCCAGCAGUGGGGGAUAGCCCGGCGAAAGCCGGAUUAAUACCGCAUACGACCUGAGGGUGAAAGCGGGGGCCGAAAGGCCUCGCGCUAUUGGAGCGGCCGAUGUCGGAUUAGCUAGUUGGUGGGGUAAAGGCUUACCAAGGCGACGAUCCGUAGCUGGUCUGAGAGGACGACCAGCCACACUGGGACUGAGACACGGCCCAGACUCCUACGGGAGGCAGCAGUGGGGAAUUUUGGACAAUGGGGGCAACCCUGAUCCAGCCAUGCCGCGUGCGGGAAGAAGGCCUUCGGGUUGUAAACCGCUUUUGUUCGGGAAGAAAUCCUCUGGGCUAAUACCCCGGGGGGAUGACGGUACCGGAAGAAUAAGCACCGGCUAACUACGUG
rnacentral:rRNA from 1 species